CAUUGGGUUAGUGUGAGCAUUUCAUUGGGUUAGUGUGGGCAUUGGGUUAGUGUGGGCAUUUCAUUGGGUUAGUGUGAGCAUUGGGUUAGUGUGAGCAUUGGGUUAGUGUGAGCAUUGGGUUAGUGUGAGCAUUUCAUUGGGUUAGUGUGAGCAUUUCAUUGGGUUAGUGUGAGCAUUGGGUUAGUGUGAGCAUUUCAUUGGGUUAGUGUGAGCAUUGGGUUAGUGUGAGCAUUUCAUUGGGUUAGUGUGAGCAUUGGGUUAGUGUGAGCAUUGGGUUAGUGUGAGC
ensembl:lncRNA